rnacentral:rRNA from 1 species
UACGUAGGGACCGAGCGUUGUCCGGAAUCAUUGGGCGUAAAGAGCGUGUAGGCGGCUAUUUAAGUCCUGCGUGAAAUCCUGCGGCUCAACCGCAGACGGUCGUGGGAAACUGGAUGGCUAGAGUGCGGGAGAGGAGAGUGGAAUUCCCGGUGUAGCGGUGAAAUGCGCAGAUAUCGGGAAGAACACCCGUGGCGAAGGCGGCAUCCUGGACCAACACUGACACUGAGGAGCGAAAGCCAGGGGAGCAAACGGG